AUGAAGGGCGGCGGCAAGAAGUUCGGCGGCGGGCGGCUGCCGACGGGGACCCCGUCGCUGGCCUGGUCAUCGGUGGUCGUGGUGGCCUCCCUCCUCGCAGGGGCCUCCGUCGUCCACAACGUCUACAAGCCCGACAUGGUAUGGUACACUAGUCUCGUCUCUGCCACUGCCACCCACCCAUCCGUUGCCCCAUGCGCGCAACCUGUUCGACGCAAUGCACGCUCACGGCUCACCGCACUUUCUUUUCUUCUGACCCACCCGCAGACCAUUCCGCCGGUAGAGAGUGCUGACGGCGGACGCGGCGGCAAUGACGGCAAGCAGAACUGA
rnacentral:rRNA from 1 species